AGAUUCUCGGUGGAACCACCAGUCGUGACGACCGUCUCACUGCCUUGGAUACUGACGAUGGAGGUGCGAAACUUGUGGUUAUCACACAGGAUUAGAUACCGUGUUAGUCCACACCGGAAACGCCGAAUGCCCGUCGUCGAGCAGUAUACUGUUCGGUGACACACCUAUCGGAUUAAUCAUUGCGCUUUUUUAGUACGAUCGCAAGAUUAAAACUCAAGGGAAUUGACGGGGGCCCGCACAAGCGGUGGAGCAUGUCGCUUAAUUUGACGCAGCGCGCAGAACCUUAACAACCCGUGACAUCCUAGGACAACUCCAGAGAUGGAGCCUUCGUUCGGGUCCUAGUGACUGGUGCUGCAUGGCAGUCGUCAGCAAAGUUCGAGAUGUUCGGUUAAGUCCGGCAACGAGGGCAACCCACAUCCCUAGUUGCCAGCAUUUUGGCUGGGCACUCCAGGAAAACUGCCCGUGAUAAGUCGGAGGAAGGUGUGGAUGACGUCAAGUCCUCA
rnacentral:rRNA from 1 species